UACGUAGGGUCCGAGCGUUAAUCGGAAUUACUGGGCGUAAAGCGUGCGCAGGCGGUUCGCUAAGACAGAUGUGAAAUCCCCGGGCUUAACCUGGGAACUGCAUUUGUGACUGCAUCGCUGGAGUGCGGCAGAGGGGGAUGGAAUUCCGCGUGUAGCAGUGAAAUGCGUAGAUAUGCGGAGGAACACCGAUGGCGAAGGCAAUCCCCUGGGCCUGCACUGACGCUCAUGCACGAAAGCGUGGGGAGCAAACAGG
rnacentral:rRNA from 1 species